rnacentral:rRNA from 1 species
AUACGUAGGGAGCAAGCGUUAUCCGGAAUCACUGGGCGUAAAGCGUGCGUAGGCGGUCCAUCAAGCCUGAGGUGAAAGGCAACGGCUCAACCGUUGUAAGCCUUGGGAACUGUUGGACUUGAGUACAGGAGAGGAAAGUGGAAUUCCUAGUGUAGCGGUGAAAUGCGUAGAUAUUAGGAGGAACACCAGUGGCGAAGGCGACUUUCUGGACUGUAACUGACGCUGAGGCACGAAAGCGUGGGGAGCGAACAGGAUUAGAUACCCUGGUAGUCCACGCCGUAAACGAUGGGUACUAGGUGUCGGCAUGCGAGUGUCGGUGCCGCAGUUAACGCAAUAAGUACCCCGCCUGGGGAGUACGGUCGCAAGACUGAA